UGAGCAAUCUGCCCUUCACAUCGGAAUAACCAUUGGAAACGAUGGCUAAUACCGAAUAUGACUUCGGAUCGCAUGAUCUGAAGUGGAAAGCUCCGGCGGUGAAGGAUGAGCUCGCGGCCUAUCAGCUUGUUGGUGAGGUAAUAGCUCACCAAGGCGAUGACGGGUAGCCGGCUGAGAGGGUGACCGGCCACACUGGGACUGAGACACCGGCACGUACCG
rnacentral:rRNA from 1 species